rnacentral:rRNA from 1 species
UACAGAGGGUGCAAGCGUUGUUCGGAAUUAUUGGGCGUAAAGCGCGUGUAGGCGGCUUUGCAAGUCGGGUGUGAAAGCCCUCAGCUUAACUGAGGAAGUGCGCCCGAAACUGCAGAGCUUGAAUACCGGAGAGGAUGGCGGAAUUCCCCAAGUAGAGGUGAAAUUCGUAGAUAUGGGGAAGAACACCGGUGGCGAAGGCGGCCAUCUGGACGGCUAUUGACGCUGAGACGCGAAAGCGUGGGGAGCAAACAGG